AUCCAGCUGACGAGUUCCAAAUAGGACAAAACGCGCAUGCUAGAU
rfam:Schistosoma mattheei strain Denwood, Zambia genome assembly, scaffold: SMTD_scaffold0001042